GACGAACGCUGGCGGCGUGCUUAACAUAUGCAAGUCGAACGGUAAGGCCCUUCGGGGUACACGAGUGGCGAACGGGUGAGUAACACGUGGGUGAUCUGCCCUGCACUUCUGGAUAAGCCUGGGAAACUGGGUCUAAUACCGGAUAGGACCACUGCCUACAUGGGUGGUGGUGGAAAGCUUUUGCGGUGUGGGAUGGGCCCGCGGCCUAUCAGCUUGUUGGUGGGGUGAUGGCCUACCAAGGCGACGACGGGUAGCCGGCCUGAGAGGGUGACCGGCCACACUGGGACUGAGAUACGACCCAGACUCCUACGGGAGGCAGCAGUGGGGAAUAUUGCACAAUGGGCGCAAGCCUGAUGCAGCGACGCCGCGUGAGGGAUGACGGCCUUCGGGUUGUAAACCUCUUUCAGCACCGACGAAGCGCAAGUGACGGUAGGUGCAGAAGAAGGACCGGCCAACUACGUGCCAGCCGCCGCGGUAA
rnacentral:rRNA from 1 species